rnacentral:rRNA from 1 species
GACGAACGCUGGCGGCGUGCUUAACACAUGCAAGUCGAACGAGUGGCGAACGGGUGAGUAACGCAUCGGAACGUACCGAGUAAUGGGGGAUAACUGUCCGAAAGGACAGCUAAUACCGAAUAAUAUUCGAGCGGCCGAUGUCUGAUUAGCUGGUUGGGGGGGUAAAGGCACACCAAGGAGACGAUCAGUAGCGGGUCUGAGAGGAUGAUCAGCCACACUGGGACUGAGACACGGCCCAGACUCCUACGGGAGGCAGCAGUGGGGAAUUUUGGACAAUGGGAGCAAGCCUGAUCCAGCCAGGCCGCGUGUCUGAAGAAGGCCUUCGGGUUGUAAAGUUCUUUCGGUAGCGAGGCGUUAACUACAGAAGAAGCACCGGCUAACUCCGUGCCAGCAGCCGCGGUAAUUC